rnacentral:rRNA from 1 species
UACGGGGGGGGCAAGCGUUGUUCGGAAUUACUGGGCGUAAAGGGCGCGUAGGCGGCCUUCUAAGUCGGACGUGAAAUCCCUCGGCUUAACCGAGGAACUGCGUCCGAUACUGAAAGGCUUGAAUCCGGGAGAGGGAUGUGGAAUUCCAGGUGUAGCGGUGAAAUGCGUAGAUAUCUGGAGGAACACCGGUGGCGAAGGCGGCGUUCUGGACUGCAACUGACACUGAAAGACGAAAGCCAGGGGAGCAAACGGG